ensembl:lncRNA
AACCAGAAUGUUAUUAAUGCCAUUAUAUUUCUGAAACCUCACAGAAGGGAACAAUAAUUGAUCCACAAAUUAGAGAAAAAGAGCUGGAGUGAGACUUUUUGGCUCUGUUGCAGGAAGUGAUAGUGAUGUUUAGAAACAUACUCAUGUUUUUUCUAAAAGGUAGGUAGCCUCAUGUUUUUUUUUCCCCCCUUUGGAGAACUGAAAUUCACGAAUUAAUUGCCUUUUUCCAGAAUUUGACUUUUUUUUUUGAUCAUGAUCACUUAGUAAAAAAAUUGAAAUUGAAAAAGAAUUUUUAUUUUGCUUCGUUUUUAUGUUUUAAAAACUUUUUUCAGGAGUUCCCAUUGUGGCUCAGCGGUAGCGAGCCUGACUAGUAUCCAUAAGGAUGCGGAUUUGAUCCCUGGCCUAGAUCAGUGGGUUAAGGAUCUGGUGCUGCUGUGAACUGCAGUAUAGGUCACACACCUGACUUGAAUCUGCAGUUGCUGUGGCCGUGGUGGCGUAGACUGUAGGCCGGCAGCUGCACCUCCAAUUUAACCCCUAGUGUGGUAACUUCCAUAUGCCUCACGUGCCGCUGUGAAAAGAAAACAGACAACUUUUUUUAUCUUUUAAACUUUUAUUGUUUGUUUUUUAUGUUUCUUUUUGGUGAAGAGACAAGUGGGGUGAUUGGUGGCAUCUUCCAUGAAUUUCCUUGUGACUGCUGACCGGUCGUUUCUAGAGAGAAAUGCUUCAGUAUCUCACUUACUCAUUUAUUCAUUCUUCCACCUCUUUGCCACAGGCCCCCAAAAGAUCCUUCCGUGGACUCCCACCCACACAUUUACUCUCUUGUCAUAGCUUCCUUUACCAAAUUCUAGGAAGGGCUCCUUAGAUUCUCUGGUGUGUGUAUUUCUUUAAGAUUUAGGGAACUUUCAAGUUGGUGCUUAUAGCAAACAUCAUGUGGCUAUGAGCUGGUGAGAGGGGAAGUAGAUUGCUUUAAUGCAUUAAAAGAAAGACACUUGGGAAUGUGCCUUUUGGAAUGGCUGACUUUCUGUAGCAACACUGUGGUCUGCAAAACAAAAUACGUUGUUAAACAAAAUAUAAAAUUCGCCUUCUUUUUCCGGAGGGCAGGGACUUGAGAUUGGUUCAUGGUCACCAGCAGAAAGCUAGCAAUCCAGUGCUGGAUAAUCUAUCACAGGCCACUGGGUUUCAAAAUAGGGUGCAGUGUGUUUGCUACAAGGGGAGUAGGUGCUGUGGGCCUGUGUUGGGUAAUAGCCCAUCUUCCGCAUUUAAUGAUUUGAAAGUCCUCCUCUCAGUUACUUGAGAGCCUUAAAAUAUCUCUUUCUAACUGUGUUUCUAUCCAGAUAGAGAGGGUGGCAUUAGCAGCAGCCUUUGCUUUUGUUAUAAUCAGUCAGUCUGAGUGGGUUUUUGGGUUUGUUUAUUUUUUAAGGUAAAGACGCAAUGAUAUUAUCUUGCCAUGUGAAUUGAUAUUUUAGGACCUACGAUUUUCAGAGCUCCUUCAUUAUAUUACAGGUUCUUUCUGCAGAUGGCAAAUGCAAUUUUCCUCUUGUCCUAAAGAGCUGACCCAUUUCCUGUGACUUGUUCUAAUAAUACAGGAUGACUUUAAUUCUUGUUCCUGGUUUGCCCUUAAAAGAAUGCUAGGGUACGUGUUAAGAGUUUUUAACUCUCUUUUCUUUCUAACUCUUGUGUUAUAUUUUUUGAAAAUUGGUAAAUCAUACAAAAACAGUGGCACACUGGCUUUGUGAAAGUUAUUUGAUCCAAUGAUGAAACACUCCUGUGGUUCUGCAUGUUAGCGUAGUUAUGAGUAUCUUUUCAAAAGCUUCUAACAGGAGAUCAAGUACUGCCCUUCCUCCCUGAGCUAACCAAGGGUGUUUUUUUUUUCUUUGCUCCUUUACUAUUUCUACAGAAAAGCCAUAGAAUGAAGAAAUUGGACCAAAUCUAAGGGCUGGUUGAACUUUGAAGCUUUUACUGUUUCCCCUCCGAAGCUUUGGCAUCUCUGCCAAUUUUCCCCCAAACUCACCCCUGGACGAGGCUCCUGAGCCCCAGCUAUCUCCAGGGUGAUGGACCAUCUCCAGAGGCAAUACCGGGUCCGAUGGACUCCUCCCCACUACAGGCGGCUCGGAAGGUCCUGGGUAGGAGGCCUUAGCAGGUCUGUGCAGAGCCACCCCUCGGGCCGCCUGGAACACUGCUGAUAGUCUCAGUGCCUUCACAGGGAGUGCUAUCAAAAGCCUCCUGUCAUAUCAGCAUGGGUCUUGCUUCCUGCAGGAAGGGCGACAUCCAGGGAGGCAUGGAGGUGGAGCCUGAGAGGCGUGGGGUUCCUGAGCUGCCCUGCUCAGGCCUGGGUGUGUUUUCAUAGAUACCCUUAAGCAGCUGCCUUUCACUCACUACUUUUUCUUCACGGGGCUUAAAGCAGUGCUUUUCACUUGCCUACAAAGAAUCUCUGAUGCCCAAGCCCAUUUCUGCCCUUUUCAGUGAGAGCAGGUUGGCUCAUUGAGCCUGAGCACUUGGGGGUGCUUCCGACAUCCUGACGGAGCAUUUUGCACUCUGCUUUGUAUUUGGAGCCAGUCGGUCCCUUUUUCCUGGUCCUUACUGCCUGGCCUUCCAGGAAAGAUUUGGAAUUAACCCUUGGAUGGAUCACUUGUGUCCAUUUCUUCUUCCGUUACUGUGCUCAUUUGCUCCUUGGCAUGUUCAUUGAAGCCAGAGGACAGAUAAUGGUGGACACAUUCAUAAUAUAAAGUAAGGAGUUUUCAUACUUUUUUGUUUUAAAUGAUAUUUACAUAUACAUAUAAUUUGCUGUGCCCUUAGUUGUCAUGGCCAUGAUCAGAGAAACUUAAGAAAACAACUUCCAGAGUUCCUGUCAUGGCUCAGCGAAAACGAAUCUGACUAGCAUCCAUGAGGACACUGGUUCGAUCCCUAGCCUCGCUUGGUAGGUUAAGGAUCCCGCACUGCUGUGAGCUGUGGUGUAGGUCGCAGACAUUCUUUGGAUCCUGAGUUGAUGUGGCUGUGGUAUAGGCCGGCAACUCUACAGCUCCGAUUCGACCCCUAGCCUGGGAACCUCCAUAUGCUCCGGGAGCGGCCCAAGAAAUGGCGGCAAGACAAAAAAAAAAAAAGUUUACAAUCAGGCCCCCUUAAAAGUUUUUUUUUUUGUUUUUGAUUUUGCUUUUUGUUUUUUAUUUUUUCCUGUUAGCUGUUUAAGGUGAUAGAGAUGCAUAUAUUACUGUAUUGAGAACUCUGCUAAUCUGGUGAUGGGUUAUUAAGAUUUCUCUUGCCCAGGAAAUCUGCUUUUAAGUGGCUUGCUUCUCCUCCAAUGGAGUACCUUUUAGUUGCCUGAGGCAAUGAGUAGAUAAAUUGUGUUAUGAGAUAUUCUUGCCAAGUGGGUUCAUGUUGGGGUGGAGGCAUGUAAUAUAGAAGUGACUUAGAAUUUUUAGUUGAGAAAGGCACCUGUGUAUUGGCUGUGUUCUCUUACAGGCUGUUGCCAUUCUGAGCUAUCAUGUGCAGGUCCAGGGAGUAGAUUUAUUCAAAGUUCCUCAAGCCAAUUUACAACCAGCAUUCAAAAUGGGCUGCAUUUGUCCCUGAUAGAAUUACCUUGAGAGGAUUUCUUGAUUCAAAAUGUAGGCAAAUAUUUUUUGAACAACUUGAAUUAUUUUGAAUAAUUUGAGAGCAGAGCUAAUAAGUGUUGAAACAAAAGAUAUUUGAAAUCAGCCUCAUUUUUUUUUUUUUUUUUAUUACCAGUCACUUCCUGGUGGGUUAAGAACGAAUGAAUUAUCAUAAUACCUGCUCCUCUUGGAGCCAAGCUUGGACCAGACAUGGAUUCUGGAGAUGAAAAGGCCUUGAUGUGUUUAAGGACUAAUGACUGGGAUAUCGUAUGAGUAUCCUCGUUAUCUCCUACUAUGUGUUAGGUUACCAUCUAAGAUGUUAUCUGAAGCACAUUAGAAGUGACUAAAAAACUGGGGGAGUUCCCUUCAUUGCUCAGUGGAAACGAAUCUGAUUAGUAUCCAUGAGAAUGCUGGUUCAAUCCCUGGCUUUACUCAGUGGGUUAAUGAUCUGGCAUUGCCAUGGGCUGUAGUGUAGGUUGUAGACGUGGCUCUGACCUGGCAUUGCUGUGGCUGUGGCAUAGGCCAGUUGUUUCAGCUCUGGUUUGACUCCUAGCCAGGGAACCUCCAUAUGCUUCGGGUGCGGCCCUAAAAGGACUGAAAAAAAAAAAAAUUGGGGGCACAUUUCAGCUCUUGGAAUGAGAAGUCCCAUAAGUUUCCGAUCUUCUCGGAGAAGAUAACCUGUAUGUUGCUUGAUCAGUUUCUGAUAAAUAAUUUGUAUUUCCCUUAUCUAUACAAUCUUGAUAAUGGGUUGCAUUUUGAUGGAGAAAAUUGUAAGAUUUAAUUAAUAUUUCUUUAGGGAAAUCUUGACUCCAUAUAUAUUUCUGCUAAAAUCAUCAGAUAUGUCCUUUGAGAAACACGUUUUCUGUAGGUUUUUAUACUCCAGGCCAUGCUUAUUAUGGGAACAGGGAUUCUCCUGUAGGGUUUUUCUAAAUCCCUAGGGUCUAUCUCUGAAUUGCUACUCAAAUUACAAUGCAUCCUUCUCAGAAUCAAUUAAUGCUUUGUACAUCCCUAGUACUGAAUCACAGGGUCACAUGAUAUUUAUUUUUUUCUAUUAAAAAUAUUCUUCCUUUCCAUAAUAUAUAUUCAAGCAGUAUGCUACUGACUGAAUUUAUAUUAUUUUUUAUUUUCUUUUUGGAAUGAAAUAAAGAAGAGCACUUGAGAUAAAUAUCCUCUGGUAUUAUGGUUGCUUUCUAAAAUAGUUUAAAAAGUUUAAUAAUGAGAAAAUCUAUCGUAUUAAAUAGACAAUGUUUGAGUCAAGAAGUAUUUACUUUCUUCCACAUAAGAAUUUCUUACAUUGUUGGAGUUGCCGUCGUGGCGCAGUGGAAACGAAUCCAACUAGGAACCAUGAGGUUGAUCCUUGGCCUCACUCAGUGGGUUAAGGAUCCGGUGUUACCAUGAGUUGUGGUGUAGGUCGCAGACGAGGUUCUGAUCUGGCAUUGCUGUGGCUGUGGCAUAGGCUGGCAGCUGUAGCAACAGUUAGACCCCUAGCCUGGGAACCUCCAUAUGCCGUG